rnacentral:rRNA from 1 species
AGUGAACGCUGGCGGUAGGCCUAACACAUGCAAGUCGAACGGCAGCACAGAGGAGCUUGCUCCUUGGGUGGCGAGUGGCGGACGGGUGAGGAAUACAUCGGAAUCUACUCUGUCGUGGGGGAUAACGUAGGGAAACUUACGCUAAUACCGCAUACGACCUACGGGUGAAAGCAGGGGAUCUUCGGACCUUGCGCGAUUGAAUGAGCCGGUGUCGGAUUAGCUAGUUGGCGGGGUAAAGGCCCACCAAGGCGACAAUCCGUAACUGGUCUGAGAGGAUGAUCAGCCACACUGGAACUGAGACACGGUCCAGACUCCUACGGGAGGCAGCAGUGGGGAAUAUUGGACAAUGGGCGCAAGCCUGAUCCAGCCAUACCGCGUGGGUGAAGAAGGCCUUCGGGUUGUAAAGCCCUUUUGUUGGGAAAGAAAUCCAUCUGGUUAAUACCCGGGUGGGAUGACGGUACCCAAAGAAUAAGCACCGGCUAACUUCGUGCCAGCAGCCGCCGUAA